AGGAAAAAGAAACCAACAGGGAUUGCCUCAGUAGCGGCGAGUGAAGCGGCAAGAGCUCAGAUUUGAAAUCGUGCUUUGCGGCACGAGUUGUAGAUUGCAGGUUGGAGUCUGUGUGGAAGGCGGUGUCCAAGUCCCUUGGAACAGGGCGCCCAGGAGGGUGAGAGCCCCGUGGGAUGCCGGCGGAAGCAGUGAGGCCCUUCUGACGAGUCGAGUUGUUUGGGAAUGCAGCUCCAAGCGGGUGGUAAAUUCCAUCUAAGGCUAAAUACUGGCGAGAGACCGAUAGCGAACAAGUACUGUGAAGGAAAGAUGAAAAGCACUUUGAAAAGAGAGUGAAACAGCACGUGAAAUUGUUGAAAGGGAAGGGUAUUGCGCCCGACAUGGGGAUUGCGCACCGCUGCCUCUCGUGGGCGGCGCUCUGGGCUUUCCCUGGGCCAGCAUCGGUUCUUGCUGCAGGAGAAGGGGUUCUGGAACGUGGCUCUUCGGAGUGUUAUAGCCAGGGCCAGAUGCU
rnacentral:rRNA from 1 species